CCCCUGACCGCGUAUGAAAGACGUUUUCACCCUCGGGUGGACAGGGAGGACAGGUGGUGCAUGGUUGUCGUCAGCUCGUGUCGUGAGAUGUUGGGUUAAGUCCCGCAACGAGCGCAACCCCUACGUUUAGUUGCUAACGCGUGAAGGCGAGCACUCUAGACGAACUGCCGUUGACAAAACGGAGGAAGGUGGGGAUGACGUCAAAUCAUCAUGCCCCUUAUGUUCUGGGCUACACACGUGCUACAAUGGCCGGUACAGACGGACGCAAAGCCGCGAGGUGGAGCAAAUCCUAAAAAGCCGGUCUCAGUUCGGAUUGCAGGCUGCAAUUCGCCUGCAUGAAGUCGGAAUCGCUAGUAAUCGCAGGUCAGCAUACUGCGGUGAAUACGUUCCCGGGCCUU
rnacentral:rRNA from 1 species